rnacentral:rRNA from 1 species
AUUGAACGCUGGCGGCAGGCCUAACACAUGCAAGUCGAGCGGAGCGGCGGACGGGUGAGUAAUGCCUAGGAAUCUGCCUGGUAGUGGGGGAUAACGUCCGGAAACGGGCGCUAAUACCGCAUACUAUCAGACGAGCCUAGGUCGGAUUGGCUAGUUGGUGGGGUAAAGGCCCACCAAGGCGACGAUCCGUAACUGGUCUGAGUGGAUGAUCAGUCACACUGGAACUGAGACACGGUCCAGACUCCUACUGGAGGCAGCAGUGGGAGAAAUUGUCCGAUGCGGGAAAGCCUGAUCCAUUCAUGCCGCGUGUGUGAAGAGGGUCUUCGGAUUGUAAAGCACUUUCUGUUGCAGGGCGUUACCAACAGAAUAAGCACCGGCUAACUCCGUGCCAGAAGGCGCGGUAAUAC